rnacentral:lncRNA from 1 species
AGUUCAUUGCCCAACACAAGAAAUGACAGAAACCCUUUUGAUCAUGUAUAUCUAGUGCAGUGUCUUCAUAGUAGAAGCCUAUAAGCCACAAUAUUCUCCAAGCGCAAGGAUGGAGGACUGCUGUGAUUGAUUAGUGAUGUCUGCCUUGACUAAGGAAAGGGAGGAACAUUUCUCAAGGGCCUCCUACUGUGAUCUCCAGUCCACAUCUUGUCCUGCCUGCCACUUAAAACAGUGCACUGCAUACAUUUGGAGACUGGCGGAGUUCAAGUGUGAAGGUCAAAGGUGGAGUGUUGGUACCCACAGGCACAUGCCCACCCUCCAUGUCCUGCAUUGGCAGAGCAUCCAGGACCUCCCUCUCCUCCAGAAGGUUGGAAAUUUGCUCUUUCCUGUUCCUUGCUGAUCAAUGCCCAAACCUAUUCCUCAUUUCUAGUUGUUUCUGAUACUUUGCGGUUGACAUUUGAGCCACAUUCCCAUGACAGCCAGUGUCCGGGUACGUAGCAGAUGCUGUACAUAGUUCUGAUGAUAAGGGAGCUGGUAGGCUGUAAAUUUUGCUUUUUGUGUUUUUGUGGGGUUUUGUUUGUUUUGAUGCAGUAUAGAGUGAAGGGGGUAAGAAUAUUCUGAAAAACAUAAAAUUGAGUAAUUUAUUCACAGAAACUAUUAAAAUGGUAUUGUUAGGCUCACAAGGAGGCUGGGGGCAGCGGUAACUGCUACACUGUCUCGCAGAGGAAAUUAUUUUAUUUAAUGUGAGAGAAAUGUGAGCCAGAGUGGCUGCCUGAGGCUAUUUAUAAAACGCAGGUACCUUCCCCAAUUUCUCUCCCCUCGCCUUUAAUAAAUAGAUUUAUGUCAUGUGUGUGACCAAGAACAGUGACAGAUCUUGGCUGUCCCUGGAAUAGAGAGGCAGUCAUGGUGCUCAGGCCCUGGGCGUGGUGUAGCUGAUGCAUGUCCCACCGAGCCCAGGCUCUCCAAGGCAUCAGUUUGUGGUCACAUAUCCUUAGAAAACAAAAUUAAGUCAGGUUCCUGUCUGCAGGAGUUUUCAGAGCCUUGAAUACAUAGUCUGCCUUGUGAAACUGGGAGAAUGUAGCAUUUCUGGGCUGCAUGACCUAGGUAUCCUGUAUGGCAGACCAUGUCUUAGCUGGUUUUUCACACAGUAGCCUUCAGUGAGGGUGAUCUAGCCUGUCUGAGGUCUGCAAAGAUUGACAGCUGCUUCCUAGAUCCUUCCACAAAUCAGCAGAAACAGUGUCCAUCUGGGAACUUUAUGAGAGUGUUGCUUUACCUAGUUGGGGUGUCUUCAUCUGGAUACUGCCCCAGAGAGUGAUCCCGUCCCUCCAAGCACAGCGGAGGGAAGCCUAGGGUGUUAUGGAGUGGGGCAGGUGGCUUAAGGACACCUUAAAGGCCACUUGGUGGGGAUAAUGGCCUCGUGGGGAUACUCCUCACUUCCACCCACAGUUUGGAACUGUUCACUGUGUGCUUCAGGAGUUUUAAAUGGAGAUUCGUGUUGAUUUCCAUGGUCCGCAUCUGUUUGUCUUCCGUCUGUGGUCCAGUGCUGUGUGCAGAUGGUACUUACUCCCUUUCUCUCUCUUACAGGGAGAAAGACUGUCCUUCUGGGGAGAGUGUAUCAAUACGCUUCCAGAAUGAGGGAGUCUUUCUCCUGUCUUGUGUUCACACUUCCUAGUGACAAUUUUCAAAAUAUGUAUCGGCUUGACUGUUUAUUGUAGAGUGUAGAAAGGUUUCUGUGUUCCUGGCUAAAGACAUCCAUUGGUGAAAUGUGCUUGGAAAUCCAAGUGUUUUCUACUGAGG